CUUCUGGAGAGGAGUGGGCUUGUGACCCAGGGGGCGGGAGCAGAAAGUCCCGGGGGCCCCCAGGUUCAACCCCCGUGUUAGAUGCGGCUGAGCCCUUAUCAGGAGCAAGUGCUCGAGGCAGGCCGAAGUGUACGGGGAUCGUUUGCCUGGCCCCACCUGCAGCCGGACCGGAGAAAAGCCCCCGCGGCGGCCGUGGUAGGGAGCGUGGUGCUUGUUUGUUCAUAAUGCGGAUGGUGAGCGUGCCAGAAAGCGCAGGCGGUGGGUCUGUAGUGGAGCCCGAGCUCUGGAGCCAGAGAGACCCAGGCAUGAAGGUCAUUCAAGGAUGUGACUGUGGAUUUAACCCAGGAGUGGAAACACCUGGGCCCUGCUCAAGAGUAUCCUGUACAGAGAUGUGAUACUGGAGAACUACAGCCACCUCCUCUCAGUGGAGUAUUGCUUUGGAAAACCAGAUGUGACCUUCAAGUUGGAGGAAGGAGAAGAUCCAUGGUUAUUAGAGGAAGAAUGUCUAAAUAGGAG